rnacentral:tRNA from 1 species
GGGGUUGUGCUCAGCGGUAGAGCACUCACCUAGCACCUGUGAGGCGCUGGGUUCAAUCCUCAACAACCACA